UACGGGGGGAGCAAACGUUGUUCGGAAUUACUGGGCGUAAAGCGUGCGUAGGUGGUUUGUUAAGUCUGUUGUGAAAGCCCCGGGCUCAACCUGGGAAUGGCAAUGGAUACUGGCAAGCUAGAGUGCGGUAGAGGGUAGUGGAAUUCCCGGUGUAGCGGUGAAAUGCGUAGAGAUCGGGAGGAACACCAGUGGCGAAGGCGGCUACCUGGACCAGCACUGACACUGAGGCACGAAAGCGUGGGGAGCAAACAGG
rnacentral:rRNA from 1 species